GAUGAACGCUGACCGAAUGCUUAACACAUGCAAGUCAACUUGAAUUUGGGUUUUUAACUUAGGUUUGGGUGGCGGACGGGUGAGUAACGCGUAAAGAACUUGCCUCACAGCUAGGGACAACAUUUGGAAACGAAUGCUAAUACCUAAUAUUAUGAUAAUAGGGCAUCCUAUAAUUAUGAAAGCUAUAAGCGCUGUGAGAGAGCUUUGCGUCCCAUUAGCUAGUUGGAGAGGUAACGGCUCACCAAGGCGAUGAUGGGUAGCCGGCCUGAGAGGGUGAUCGGCCACAAGGGGACUGAGACACGGCCCUUACUCCUACGGGAGGCAGCAGUGGGGAAUAUUGGACAAUGGACCGAGAGUCUGAUCCAGCAAUUCUGUGUGCACGAUGAAGUUUUUCGGAAUGUAAAGUGCUUUCAGUUGGGAAGAAACAAAUGACGGUACCAACAGAAGAAGAGACGGCUAAAUACGUG
rnacentral:rRNA from 1 species